UUCCCGCAACUAACCUUCAACCUAUUAUCACAGAACUUAUUUUCACUUUCUUGAUUCAAACAAAUCAAAGAAUCCAAUAAAAUCUAAUAAAGUACACUUGAAAUAAGAAGCAAGAAGAAUAAGAAGAUGAUUUUUCACUUUCUUAAUUCAAACAGCUUGAAGAAUCCAACAAAAUACUUCUCAAAUUCUUCAGCCCUCACUUUUCAAUUUUCCAAGAAGAUGAAUUUUUAAUUUUCAAUAGGUUGAAUUUUCAAUCAGAAUAUAUCUUACACCUAAAGAUUUUCGACAAAAAUUAAUAAA
rnacentral:lncRNA from 1 species